GCGGUGGUGAUUCAGGUAGAAUUCUCACCUUCCAUGCAGGAGACCCAGGUUCAAUUCCUGACCACUGUA
rnacentral:tRNA from 1 species